AACUGUGACAAAAGGGAAUAAGCCCCACAAUUCUGGAUGUUUAAUCAAGUAGUUACUAUAACUGAGUAAUCGUUAACCUCUUUUAUGUUUUCCAGGUAAUCUGUGCUACUUAGUGAUGUCUCAUUCUAUUUUAAUUGCUACAGAUGUAAAUGGCCUGGGAAGUCACAAAAGACAGUGACUAAAACGUGAACAGCUGGUUGUCACCAAGUUGCCCAUGUGCAGACAAGCAGAAGGUUUCCUUGAGAACAACUAUGAGGGAGAAGGAAACAUUGGAAUCAGAUGGAAGGAAUAAAACUUGAGAUAAAUGGCACAGAACCAAACACAGGGCUGGAGCUGAAGCAAAUCCUGGCUGUGAUCGGAAUUCGGGCUUUUCCUACAUGAAUGAAGAACACUUCUUUGCCAAAUGCAUGGAUAUGAAACUAUGCACAAUGAAUGAACAUAGGAAACCCCAGGAAUUAAAGUGUUCCAAACCUGUAAUGAAGCUGCGAAGAGAAAAUGCCAUGAUGUGAAAAAUAAAUAGGCAAAAACCCCAUCUAUCCCAUAGUCUCCCCUGAGAGCCUAGGAGUGCCAGCUGCCUUUGCAGUCAAGAGCAGAUUCCAGCCCACAAGCCUUCUCGUGUGGACACCAAGCCUGGCUGAGCUGAAUCUCCACAUAAGGCUGCCGCUCUCUGUCGACAACACCAUAAUGAGACAGCCGCUUCUCCCUGUUGCUACCCGAGGCUGGGUGCCGCCAUCUGAGGAGCAUACUGCAGGGCUCACCACCUCUCCAGAGACAACUCCGCCUGUGUGCUCAGUGUUUGAGAGGAAGUACAAGACACCAGAGGGUGCUUGUUCAGGUAUACAUUUCAGGUGAAAUUUUUGAGUCCCAGGUGAGGCUAUAGCCUUGAACAUGGGAUUCUUCUGGGAGUAAUUUAUCAUUUAAUGCACAGAGACUGGAAAUGAAAGUGCCCUGCACUUACAUAUUGUAAAGGCCAAACACAUUCUCUUUUUAGUCUUAAAAUUUUUCAUACCGUAUAUACUGAUCAUGUUUUCCUCCCCCAACUCCUCCCAUACCCUCUCUACCUUUAUGUACCCACACAGCUUUAUGUUCUAUCUCUGUCUCUCUCAUUCUCCCCCUUUCAAAAUAACCCACAAAAACACAAAAUGAAAAUCAAAAUAAUCAAACAAACAAAAACCCCCUAAUGGAAGGUGCCAAACAAGACAAAAUGAUAAACAAACCAAUAACAAAAGAUACCAAAAAAUACACGGAGUUCAUUUUGUAUUGGUUAACUACUCUUGGGCAUGAGGCCUGCCCUGAAGUGUGCUUGGCAUACUUCAUAAUGGCAUACCCAGUGACACUCCAUUGGAGAAAAUGGAGUUUUCCCUUUGCCAGCAGGUUAUCAAUUGCAAGUCGAUUCUUGGUCAGUGGUAGGACCACAUGUCCACUUCUGACUCUCAGCCCUGGGACCCUGUCUGGCUCAAAUCAGGGCAAGCAAAAGACCUCUUAUGCUUUUUGCCAGAGUUUCUGUGAACUCGUAUAGGUAUCAUUCUGGUUGUGUCUGGAAGACAUUGAGUCCUUGGAGUCAUCCAUCACCUCUGGCUCUUACAAUCUUUCUCCUCCUCUUCCACAUAGAUCCCUGAGUCUUGAGAGGAGGGGGAUGGGAUGAAGACAUACCACUUAGAAUUGGGUGCUCCAAAGUCUCUCACUCUAUACACACUGCCCAUUUAUGGGUCUCUCUAUUUGUUCCCAUGCACUGUAAGAAGAUGCUUCUCUGAUGAGGGCUGAGUGAGGCCCUGAUCUAUGGGUAUGGCAGAAUGUCAUUAAGAGUCAUUCUACUGCUCUGUUCUUCUAACAGAAUAAUAGUAGUAGGGUUUCUCCAAGGCCCACAACCUAUUUAAGACCAGGUUCUUGGCCACUUUGGAAGUGUCCUGCGUAGGUUCCAUCUCAUGGAGUCUGCCUUAAAUCCAAUCAAAAAGUGAUUUGUUAUCCCCAAAACAUUUGUGUCAUUAUCACAUUAUGUUGUAUUAUACCAGUAUAUCUUUCAGACAGAUUAUUGUUGCAAGUCAUAGGGGUUUUAGAUGGGAGAUAUUGGUAAUUAAGUUUCUCCUCCAGUAGAAUACAGAGUAUCUUCCAGUACCCUGAACACUAGUCAGUAAGGGUGAAGCUUUAUCUGGGCCCCAGGUCCACUUCUAUGUGUCAAAUGAUAUAAGUAAGUGUUGGAGCCACUAAUUGUGCAGCGCUCAUCUUAUUAGAAAAAUGGGAUUGCACAUCUCUGCCACUGGCUCUGAACUACUUUUGUGAACAAGAGCUGUAUCUUAGAAAUACAUCGUAUCCAUGAUGUGAGAUGCCUCAGCUGCCAUCCAGACAGAACUGGUACUGGAUACACUUGCUGAGUGAUGUUGUAAUUCAAACCUGCCUGGGGCUGUGAGAAAUGAGGGUGCUUCCCACCCAUAGACUUGGAGAAGUUGCCAACUAGUGAUAAGUCACCAUUAAUUAUUCACUCAGCCAAGUUGAUAAUGUGUUGAAAAAUAAAAUGACUAUGUGAUUAUCCUGAUAUUGACCGUUAAAAGUUUGUGAUGGAUGGCCCUCACCUCACCUUUGCUCUUUGUCAGUCUCAAGUCUUCUUAAAUGCUUUUUUUUUUCUGUUUGUUCAUCCAUACUGGAUCUAUUCUGAGGCAGACAUGUUGCUAUGGCCACCACAGCCAGCAUUGAUACAUUCUCCCUCAUGCUGGCCACAGUCCCUGGUAACUAUCAGCUUUUCAGAUGUAAGUGACAAGAGUGGAAAGCAAAAUCUGUGAGAAAAAAUAUGAAAUUAGAUCCCAGCAUUGGAUCUAAUUGUUCCCCCAUUAUGUCAAGAUGAUCUCAUGUUUCUGAGUGUCCUGUGGUGACUCUCACAGGAGAGGGCUUAACCAGGACAGAAUUGACUCUCAUAACAGACCCAUGACUCUGGGCAAUGGUGCCUCUGGCCAACUAAAGAAAGACAACUAAAAAUCCAGUUUCCAAAUUCACAUUGCUCUUGAAGGCUACAGAGAAGAGUCAGUCUCCUCAACAAUUUGACAGAAUUGAAGCCACUUCAUUUUCAGGAAUUUGCAAAGAGUAGAUUAUCCCAGAACCAUUUUCUGAAGCCAAGAACAAAACUUCAAUAACAGGUCAGCUCUCACAUGUCCCCUAAUCUAAGACUUUCCAAAUUUUGUGUUGAAAUAACAAUUCCAACACCCAUCUCCCCUACUCCCCUCAACCAAGAGGUCACCCAUCUCAUCAUUUUUUGUCUUAACUUUAAACAUUGAAACUGCUUAUUCUUGCUUUCAUGGAUUUUGUUUAUUUACAGGGGAUUUGCUGUGUUUGUUGUCAAACAUUUGAUCUUUUGCUUCCUGAAUUCCUCUAAGAUUUCUACUAGCUAAUGUGGCUUUCAUGUUUCCAACAGAAAUAACAAACAAAAACACGACAGAAAUGCAAGCAUCUUUCUGAAAUGUGGGGGCAUCUGGGUUAUCACCAAAAUCGGCCAGAACAAGGGGAUUCCGAGGAACUGUCUGAGGAGACAAAUCACAUUAAAUGUGUUUAUUUGGUUUUCUGAAAUGCCCUUUCCUCUGGCUUCAUUUACAUUUCAUUCAUAUGAAGUUCUUCAACCUGAGACACAUUUUGUUCUACAUAGUUUUCUGAGUUCACUUUCACAAGCAGCCAGAGAGUGAGACAGAUCCUAAACAAACUCUCGGGUGAUGGAAAGCUCUGCACUUAUUGGAGUGAGAGGACCAGAGUCCGCCUCCUCUACAGAAGUAGUGUUUUCACAGUCCCCAAGGAAGCAGAUCCUUUGCUGCUUAGCCAGCUGAGAGGGUGUAGGGCUACUCGAAGGAUCAAGGGUUAGUGGAUAAGUUUUAAAUUCCUCAACUAGGCCAAAUUUGUUAGUCUUGAUCAUGUCCAAUUUGAGUUAACCAAGUUCUAAUUAAGCAAGGUUUGUUUUAAUGAAGUCCCUUGUCUACCUGGACUUGCAAUAUUGCAGACUUCAUUCUUAAUUAAGGUAAGGAAUUCCUUUUGGCUCCCACAGCCAGAAUUUUCCAUUUGUUCCAUGUGGAGUGCCAGUUGGCUUCCACAGCCUGCAAGCAUGUGCCUUUGGCACAGCUGGACAAUUUAUGAACUUCAGUGGGAUUAAAAAGGUGCCAUAUCCUUGAGAAACAUUCCAGUAACCAAGAUUUCUUUUUAUUUGCACCACUGACCAACCUGAUCCAAGCAAUAAUGAGCACGUGCCUAACAGAGGUGGGGAACAGCGGAUGUCAACAGCAAUGCUCCAAAAGAAGUCUCUUUUUCUGCCUAAGCCUGAAUUCCAUGAAGAGCAAUAUGGAACCCAUCAGCCAGCAUUCUGACUUCAAUUUGGUUCCAAAAACAAUCUGCAGAUGGAAGAACAAAGUACCCUGGGCAGUCUUUUCGGUCACCUGGGAUUCUCGAGAGCACAGAGAGAUCAGCAUGCCUGAGAGAUCUGCAUGACAGCAGAGCUGGCACCAGAGAACCCAGCUCCAGCUCCCCCACUGUCCCUUUGGAGCCACAGGUUAGAAGACCUUGAAUAAUCAUUUCACUUCUCUGAGCCUUGGCCUUCUCAUCUGCAAAGAGAGAGAGGGUGAGUAGACCCAUGUUUCUCAAGCCAUCUGUGAUGAAGGAACACAUCUUCUCUCCUUACUUGCCUUCCAGCAAUCCACUGUACACUGAGCUUUUGGGAGGAACAAUAAAAAACAAA